rnacentral:rRNA from 1 species
GACGAACGCUGGCGGCGUGCUUAACACAUGCAAGUCGAACGCAGUGGCGAACGGGUGAGUAAUACGUGGGUAACCUGCCCUCCUUUUUGGGGUAAGCCUUGGAAACGGGGUCUAAUACCUAAUAAAGGGGGAUGGGCUCGCGGCCUAUCAGCUUGUUGGUGGGGUGAUGGCCUACCAAGGCGGUGACGGGUAGCCGGCCUGAGAGGGUGAACGGUCUAAUUGGGACGGAGAGUCGGCCCAGAGUCCUACGGGAGGCAGCAGGGGGGGAGAGUGCACAAGGGGCGAAAGCCUGAUGCAGGGAGGCGGUGGGGGGGGUGUAGGCUGGCGGGUUGUAAACCGCGAUCGCCAUGGAACGGGUAGGUGGAGAAGAAGCGCCGGCUAACGACGUGCUAGCAGCCGCGGUAAUUC